rnacentral:lncRNA from 1 species
GACUCUAUUUAGGAAUUCAUUAUCAAAGAAAAAUGAAUAAAUAAUAGAAUUGUAUAGAAGUAAAAAAAAAACUAGGAAUAAAUAAAUAAAUGAACAUUCAAAAACAAAAAAUCAAGAAAACUAAAAAGAGGAACAGAAUGUAAAAAAAAAUGAAAAAAUAUAAUAAUAAAAAAUUAAGAAAAGGGAACAGAAAACGUAAAAAAAAACAGAAUGUUAAAAACAAAAAAAAAACAUUAAAUAAAAAGA